rnacentral:rRNA from 1 species
UACGUAGGGGGCAAGCGUUGUCCGGAAUCAUUGGGCGUAAAGAGCGUGUAGGCGGCCCGAUAAGUCCGCUGUGAAAGUCCAGGGCUCAACCCUGGGAUGCCGGUGGAUACUGUCGAGCUCGAGUCCGGAAGAGGCGAGUGGAAUUCCUGGUGUAGCGGUGAAAUGCGCAGAUAUCAGGAGGAACACCAAUGGCGAAGGCAGCUCGCUGGGACGGUACUGACGCUGAGACGCGAAAGCGUGGGGAGCAAACAGG